rnacentral:rRNA from 1 species
AUUAAGAGCUUGCUCUUAUGAAGUUAGCGGCGGACGGGUGAGUAACACGUGGGUAACCUGCCCAUAAGACUGGGAUAACUCCGGGAAACCGGGGCUAAUACCGGAUAACAUUUUGAACCGCAUGGUUCGAAAUUGAAAGGCGGCUUCGGCUGUCACUUAUGGAUGGACCCGCGUCGCAUUAGCUAGUUGGUGAGGUAACGGCUCACCAAGGCAACGAUGCGUAGCCGACCUGAGAGGGUGAUCGGCCACACUGGGACUGAGACACGGCCCAGACUCCUACGGGAGGCAGCAGUAGGGAAUCUUCCGCAAUGGACGAAAGUCUGACGGAGCAACGCCGCGUGAGUGAUGAAGGCUUUCGGGUCGUAAAACUCUGUUGUUAGGGAAGAACAAGUGCUAGUUGAAUAAGCUGGCACCUUGACGGUACCUAACCAGAAAGCCACGGCUAACUACGUGCCAGCAGCCGCGGUAAUACGUAGGUGGCAAGCGUUAUCCGGAAUUAUUGGGCGUAAAGCGCGCGCAGGUGGUUUCUUAAGUCUGAUGUGAAAGCCCACGGCUCAACCGUGGAGGGUCAUUGGAAACUGGGAGACUUGAGUGCAGAAGAGGAAAGUGGAAUUCCAUGUGUAGCGGUGAAAUGCGUAGAGAUAUGGAGGAACACCAGUGGCGAAGGCGAC